CAGUCGCCGCGGUAAUACGUAGGGUGCAAGCGUUAAUCGGAAUUACUGGGCGUAAAGCGUGCGCAGGCGGUUUUGUAAGACAGAGGUGAAAUCCCCGGGCUCAACCUGGGAACUGCCUUUGUGACUGCAAGGCUAGAGUACGGCAGAGGGGGAUGGAAUUCCGCGUGUAGCAGUGAAAUGCGUAGAUAUGCGGAGGAACACCGAUGGCGAAGGCAAUCCCCUGGGCCUGUACUGACGCUCAUGCACGAAAGCGUGGGGAGCAAACAGGAUUAGAUACCCGCGUAGUCCCUGUCUCUUAUAA
rnacentral:rRNA from 1 species